rnacentral:RNase_P_RNA from 1 species
AAAUUCAGGUAAUUGCUGCAGUGCUAGACACUGGAGAGGAAAGUCCAUGCUCACACGGUACUGAGAUGUCCGUAGUGUUCGUGCCCGGCCAAAAAAUAAGCCGGGGCGCUGUUUACUCAGCUGACGGCGGAAAUAAUUCCUAAGUCCUUUUAGGAUAUGGAAGACGUUUCCUGAAAAGUGCCACAGUGACGGAGCUGUAUCGGAAACGGUACAGGUGGAACGAGGUAAACCCCGCGAGUGAGAAACCCAAAUUAUGGUAGGGGCGCUCUUCCGAAGGAAAUGAACGGAGGAAGGGACAGACAAUCGUCUGUAGAUAGAUGAUUACCACCCUGAGUACGAGGUGUAAACCGUUUGAGUACAAGGGAACAAAACAUGGCUUACGAA